UACGGGGGGGGCAAGCGUUGUUCGGAAUUACUGGGCGUAAAGGGCGUGUAGGCGGCCGAUUAAGGGUGGGGUGAAAUCUCCCGGCUUAACUGGGAGGGGUCCUUGCCAACUGGUCGGCUGGAGGCCGGUAGGGGCGCGUGGAAUUCCCGGUGUAGUGGUGAAAUGCGUAGAGAUCGGGAGGAACACCGGUGGCGAAGGCGGCGCGCUGGGCCGAGCCUGACGCUGAGGCGCGAAAGCGUGGGGAGCGAACUGG
rnacentral:rRNA from 1 species